GAUGAACGCUAGCUACAGGCUUAACACAUGCAAGUAGAGGGACCGGCGCACGGGUGAGUAACACGUAUCAAACCUUCACUGUACUCGGGGAUAGCCUUUCGAAAGACAGAUUAAUACCCGAUAUGAAGGACGGGGAUGCGUUCCAUUAGGUUGUUGGUGAGGUAACGGCUCACCAAUCCUUCGAUGGAUAGGGGGUCUGAGAGCAAGGGCCCCCAGAGUGUAACUGAGACACGGUCCAAACUCCGACGGGAGGUAGCAGUGAGGAAUAUUGGUCAAUGGGCGGUAGCCUGAACCAGCCAAGUGUCGUGAAGGAUGGAGGCUUAUGGGUCGUCAACUUCUUUUAUAUAAGAAUAGUUAUUAUAUGAAUAAGGAUCGGCUAACUCCGUGCAAGCAGCCGCGGUAAUUC
rnacentral:rRNA from 1 species